rfam:Candidatus Hodgkinia cicadicola isolate TETTLN, complete genome.
GGGGCCAUAACUUAAUUGGCAGAGUGUUUGUUUUGCAAGCAAAACGUUAGCGGUUCAAAUCCGCUUGGCUCCA